rnacentral:lncRNA from 1 species
UGAAAUUAGAAUUGCAUGAACAAGUCUAGUAAGGAUUGUUGAGUCAGUGAUAUGAUUUUCUUGACAUGAUUUGAAUCUUUAUCUGGUUGACACUGAUAUUAUAGGAUAGCACUUUGAAAAAUGACCAUGUUGGCUAUGAUAGUUUAAAUGGUUAGAUAAUAGAGUUCUAAAGGAUGAUUGCUAGUGAAAUGAAGGGACAAUUUGAAUAGCUAGUGAAGACUGAAUUUAUACAUAAACUCGAGUUUGGGGGAAAAAUAUUUAGAAAAAAAAGGGUACACAUGGUGACUAGUCUUGUUUCGGGGCCUUUGUUACUUGAGCAAGUACGCCCGAGGGGAUUGUCUUUACACCUAGCGCCCUAAGGUCUUUUAUGGUCUGGGAGUCGUUGGUCAAAAGCUCGCUAAGGGGUAACGCUGUUAGCCUAAUGGGAUGAGACAUUGCACAGUCAUUUAUGUAUAUAUAAAAAAAAUGUGAAAAUAAAAAUAAAGCGGGAAAAGUGUAAAAUGCCCCCGUUAUGAAAAAAAAGAGAGAAAAGAAAAGCAUAAGUAUUCCAUUUUGACUCUUGAAUUUGGGUAAUUGUUGGAUUUCAGUUGAAACAAGUAUAUUCGAUGAGUUCUCAAGUUUACACUGUAUGAAGCUUACUAAGAAAUUUAUUAUCUUUCAUAUUUUUGCCUUUCAUGGGUUAGCAUGGUUGUUGAACACACACUCACAAUAUCAGUCAUAACAGAUUCAGAUUCAUUGAUUGUUGGGAUAUUAUCGAUCUGCUUUAACAUGAUGUAUUAGCAUGUUUUUGUGAUUUUUCUGAGGCCUAUGGAUACACGUGAGCUAUUGAAC